rnacentral:lncRNA from 1 species
AUUUGGUGGGUUUUUAGUGAAAUCCAAUCUCUAGAAGAAUACAAUACACCAAUCACCCCAUUUCAGAACGAACUUCGUACGAACCUGAAUUAUCCGUUUUCAAGGACCAAUCGAUAUCGGAUUGAGUCCAAAACUUGGGGAACAUCAUAAUAUUGUGGGAGGAGUCAUUUGGUGGGUUUUUAGUGAAAUCCAAUCUCUAGAACAAUACAAUACACCACUCACCCCAUUUCAGAACGACCUUCGUACGAACCUGAAUUGUCCGAUUUCAAGGACCAAUCGAUACCAGAUUAAUUCCAAAACUUGGGGAACAUCAUAAUAUUGUGGGAGUUGUCAUUUGAUGGGUUUUGAGUGAAAUCCAAUACCUAGAAGUAUACAACACACCAACCACUCCAUUUCAGAACGAACUUCGUACGAACCUGAAUUGUCCGAUUUCAAGGACCAAUCAAUAUCGGAUUAAGUUCAAAACUUGGGGAACAUCAUAAUAUUGUGGGAGGAGUCAUUUGGUGGGUUUUGAGUGAAAUACAAUCGCUAGAACUAUACAGUACACCAGCCACUCCAUUUCAGAACGAACUUCGUAUGAACCUGAAUUGUCCGAUUUCAAGGACCAAUCGAUAUCGGAUUGAGUCCAAAACUUGGGGAACAUCAUAAUAUUGUGGGAGGAGUCAUUUGGUGGGUUUUUAGUGAAAUCCAAUCUCUAGAACAAUACAAUACACCACUCACCCCAUUUCAGAACGAACUUCGUACGAACCUGAAUUGUCCGAUUUCAAGGACCAAUCGAUACCGGAUUAAGUCCAAAACUUGGGGAACAUCAUAAUAUUGUGGGAGUUGUCAUUUGAUGGGUUUUGAGUGAAAUCCAAUCUCUAGAACUAUACAACACACCAAUUACCCCAUUUCAGAACGAACUUCGUACGAACCUGAAUUGUCCGAUUUCAAGGACCAAUCAAUAUCGGAUUAAGUUCAAAACUUGGGGAACAUCAUAAUAUUGUGGGAGGAGUCAUUUGGUGGGUUUUGAGUGAAAUACAAUCCCUAGAACUAUACAGUACACCAGCCACUCCAUUUCAGAACGAACAUCGUAUGAACCUGAAUUGUCCGAUUUCAAGGACCAAUCGAUAUCGGAUUGAGUCCAAAACUUGGGGAACAUCAUAAUAUUGUGGGAGGAGUCAUUUGGUGGGUUUUUAGUGAAAUCCAAUCUCUAGAAGAAUACAAUACACCAAUCACCCCCAUUUCAGAACGAACUUCGUACGAACCUGAAUUAUCCGUUUUCAAGGACCAAUCGAUAUCGAAUUGAGUCCAAAACUUGGGGAACAUCAUAAUAUUGUGGGAGGAGUCAUUUGGUGGGUUUUUAGUGAAAUCCAAUCUCUAGAAGAAUACAAUACACCAAUCACCCCAUUUCAGAACGAACUUCGUACGAACCUGAAUUAUCCGUUUUCAAGGACCAAUCGAUAUCGGAUUGAGUCCAAAACUUGGGGAACAUCAUAAUAUUGUGGGAGGAGUC